GGUGGCUCAGUGGUGGAGUGCUUGUCUUGCAUGCAUGAGGCCCUGGGUUCGAUUCCUCAGCACCA
rnacentral:tRNA from 1 species